rnacentral:rRNA from 1 species
CCUGCCAGUAGGACCUUUUAAAAACCCUUUGUAAUUGCAAUCAGCGUCAGAAACAACGUAAUCGUUACAACUUUCAACAACGGAUCUCUUGGUUCUGGCAUCGAUGAAGAACGCAGCGAAAUGCGAUAAGUAGUGUGAAUUGCAGAAUNCAGUGAAUCAUCGAAUCUUUGAACGCACANUGCGCCCCUUGGUAUUCCAUGGGNCAUGCCUGUUCGAGCGUCAUUUGUACCCUCCAGCCCUGCUGGGUGUUGGGCGUUUUGUUCCGCCGCGCGCGUGAACUCGCCUCAAAUGCAUUGGCAGCCCGCCGUCCUGUGUGGGAGCGCAGCACAUUUUGCGUUCUCCACUGCUGACGGUGGCAUCCACAAGUUUACCAUUUUACGCUUGACCUCGGAUCAGGUAGGGAUACCCGCUGAACUUAAGCAUAUCAAUAAGCGGAGGAAAAGAAACCAACAGGGAUUGCCCUAGUAACGGCGAGUGAAGCGGCAACAGCUCAAAUUUGAAAUCUGGCGCUUUCAGCGUCCGAGUUGUAAUUUGCAGAGGGCGCUUUGGCGUUGGCAGCGGUCCAAGUUCCUUGGAACAGGUCGUCACAGAGGGUGAGAAUCCCGUACGUGGCCGCAUGUCUUCGCCGUGUAAAGCCCCUUCGACGAGUCGAGUUGUUUGGGAAUGCAGCUCUAAAUGGGAGGUAAAUUUCUUCUAAAGCUAAAUACUGGCCAGAGACCGAUAGCGCACAAGUAGAGUGAUCGAAAGAUGAAAAGCACUUUGGAAAGAGAGUCAAACAGCACGUGAAAUUGUUGAAAGGGAAGCGCUUGCAGCCAGACUUGCCUGCCGUUGCUCAUCCGGGCUUUUGCCCGGUGCAUUCUUCGGUAGGCAGGCCAGCAUCAGUUUGGGCGGUGGGAUAAAGGUCUCUGUCACGUACCUCCUUUCGGGGAGGCCUUAUAGGGGAGACGUCAUGCCACCAGCCUGGACUG